UAAAAGAUAGUUUAACGAAAAUUCUGGCUUUGGGAGCCAGUGAUGGAUACUCAUUUCCUCUUUUAA
rnacentral:tRNA from 1 species